GAAGCUUACUACAAUUGUAUGAAAUAUUUCCACUCAGGUUUAAGUCAACGAAAAAUCCAAGAGUCAAAUAUAAGAUUUUGGUUUAUCGUGCAAUGGCUAAUGCAGCAAUUGGGAUUGGGUUUGAUGAUUUUAUUGUAGAUGCAUUUGUGAGCAUGUUGUAUUCAGGGUUCAGCUCAUUUGUGAUCUCUAUGGAAGGAAAUGCUUCAGAAACACUUUACAAAAUGCUCAUUUUCAUGCCAUGAGUAGGUAUUACAUUAAUCAUGGAAGAUUAAGAAUGGUCUCCCGAAACCAACUUAUGAGUUAACC